rnacentral:sRNA from 1 species
ACCAUCCUCAUCUCCUACUGGAUACACUAAUACGAAAACCCGUGCGCAAAAAAUCCAAGCCAAACUCUUCGAGAAACCAUGGAUCAACGCAUGCUGUCAGCAUUUCAGUCCUCGCCAAACGAUAAGCACUAGCAGCUUGUGAACAAUUUAAUUGAAAAAAAAUGUAAUAUGUGCUCUAUCAUCAAGCACCCAAUCUUCAAACAGAUGAAACAAAUCAAGUGGUGUGCAUAAAAGAAAACGACUCAACACGACCUUUCCAACUACCAAUGCGUUGGGUGAGGACCCAGUCUAAUCCGAAUCAUUCAUAUAUUAUUUUUUGUCUGCCGACUUCGUCAAGCGUCAACUUAGUUGCACGCAUUGCAGCAGACGACAACGCCAUCGGUAGAGCCGAAUUUGGGCAUUUGUACUGAGCGACACUACAUCAAUCCGAAGAUUGUGCAAGCAGAAGUAGUUAAAAACUGACUUUUGCGGUGUUAGUUACUCUAUUUCCAGCAACAGCUCAUGUAAUAUUUGUGGCCCUUUUGGAUAACGCCAUCGGUAGAACCGAAUUUGGGCAUUUGUACUGGAGCGACACUACAUCAAUCCGAAGAUUGUGCAAGCAGAAGUAGUUAAAAACUGACUUUUGCGGUGCCAGUUGCUCUAUUUCCAGCAACAGCUCAUUUAGAUUUUAACCCAAAAAAAAAAAAAAAAAAAAAAAAAAA